GAUAGAUGAGAGGUGGGGAUUGACAGAAAGAGAAGAUGUGAAGCUGGUUACCGAGCUCGGGGCUGAAAUCCUGGCCAGGUGUUGGCUCUAUCUGUUGAAUGACUGAGAGAGGCUGCAGAAGGUGGAAUAGAGAACGGCUUUCAGCUGCGGGAGAAGACAGUUUCUGUUGGCCUCUGCAGAGGGAUGGCCAGGGGUUCUGCUGAGUAUUACAAGGCACAGGAGAGUCCCUACAACAAGGUUCUCCGGUUCUGAUACCAGCAGUGGCACCAUUUGGGAACCAUGACAUACGCCAAUGUCAUGACCCCAGCUUCCUCCAGGGCAAAUCCAAAUGUGGCCCUCAGCUAUGUUUCUGCUCUUCCUGAGACAGGGAGGAGGGGCUGGACUGCAGGGCAGUUUCCUAGCAUUGGAAACCACAAGAAGAGGCAACAGCUUGUCUUUUGGAGAUCUCCGAGGGGGCAGAACAGAUACACUCUUCAAGGUCAUGUUAAUCUGGGUCCUGCUUGAGGCUUGGCUUCAACCCCUUUUGCCCUGUUGGAUCUGUUCAGCCCCUCUCUCUGCCUUUGAGGUCUAGAAAAUUCCACCAGGCAUGCAGUGGGUCCUCUUUCAUCUUCCUAUGUGGCUGGCUGCAGGCCUGCCUGCAUUUUGGAUUUUUAUGAAUAUUGGUUUGCUGAAUGCCAUGCUUGUGAAGCCUGCAGAGAGAGAGAGAGAGAAGGCUGGGAUGGAGUGGAACCCAACACUACCCACCAACUUCAGGGAGAAGCCCUCCUGUGCUCACGAGCCUGACUCUUCCUGUGCGAUUUCCUCUGCAGGUCUUUAAUUCAAGUCAGCCUUCUCUGGUACUUCCUAACUCAGGGACCCCCCCCCCCCCCCCGUGAGCCUACUCUAGCCCUUCCUGCGGGGCUCUGCCUCAUUAGCUCCAUAAUCCAACACAACGAUGGAGAAGAAGAGCCGAGCCACUCUGCGAGUGAUUUAGCAGAACGCUUUUAUGACUAUUGAAAAUGAACACUGACCCCAGGUAAGAGGCCUAAACAGGGUCUUUAAAGGCCCACCAUCCAUUUCUCUUGGAUGGACUCUGCUCGGUAAAUCACUGUGUUGUCAGUUUUACGACACUGCUCUAGCUAUUGAGGCUAGGGAACUGUGAAAUGUCAUAUAUAUAUGAAAUAAAAUUAAGUUGCAGGGAGCGUGCAUUAGC
rnacentral:lncRNA from 1 species